UACGUAGGGUGCAAGCGUUAAUCGGAAUUACUGGGCGUAAAGCGUGCGCAGGCGGUUAUGUAAGACAGAUGUGAAAUCCCCGGGCUCAACCUGGGAACUGCAUUUGUGACCGCAUAGCUAGAGUACGGUAGAGGGGGAUGGAAUUCCGCGUGUAGGCAGUGAAAUGCGUAGAUAUGCGGAGGAACACCGAUGGCGAAGGCAAUCCCCUGGACCUGUACUGACGCUCAUGCACGAAAGGCGUGGGGAGCAAACGAGG
rnacentral:rRNA from 1 species